rnacentral:lncRNA from 1 species
AUGAGGAGGCUGCAGCAACCCUCGAUGAUGUUGUGGAGGCCGGCGGGAGUGAGAAGACGGAGGAAGAGGCCCUGGCUGGGGCAAAUGAGGAGGAGGUGGGGCCGGGAACUGAGAAGGUGCAGGAGGAGGCUGCCUGCAUUGACGAGGCAGAGGAGGAGGCAGGCCCAUCCCUUGAAAAUGACGAGGAGUCCCCAGCCAGCGACCUGGUUGAGCAGGAAGACCAGCUUGCCCCCAAGGUGGACGGGAUGGACGAUGAAAGCCUAUGUUUCAUGGAGAGUCUGAGUGACAGCAACCAUGAUGAAAGUGAUACAGGUAAGAACAGCUCUCAGGUAGGAGCCAAUGGGAGAGGGAUCCCGGGACACUUGGGUGACGCCUGCUGCUUGGAGUGUGGGGCAGGUGAGUCUGAAACUUAAAAACAGAAAGAAAUUGAUGUAAAGAUGUUCACCGCCUACUUUAAUAAGGAGAGGGAGCAGAUAUGAGAUGCCUGAAUGUUGGCAUCUGUGCUCACCUUGUGUGGAAGGGUCUCAGUCCAUGGAGCAGAGGGAAGGUCUGGGCACCUGGAGGAAAAACCAGGGUGAUGCUCUGUACCCGUAGUCACCUCAGGGAAGCCGGAGAAACGGGAGGGCCACUCUUUCUAACUCCUUGAUUCCCCUGAUGGUGUGUUUCUACAGACUCAGUGGUGGAGAGCCUGAGCAGCCGCCAGGAUGAGGAGGCUGCAGGUAGGGAAGAGCACGCAGCUGGGAUCCAGUGGGAGAGGGUUCCUGGGAGCACCUGGGUUCCGCCUGCUGCCGGAGAGGGAGGAAGUGGGGAUAGGACUUGGCGGGUGGG